AUUGAACGCUGGCGGCAUGCCUUACACAUGCCAAGUCGAACGGGCAGCACGGGAGCAAUCCUGGUGGCGAGUGGCGAACGGGGUGAGUAAUAUAUCGGAACGUGCCCAGUAGUGGGGGAUAGCCCGGCGAAAGCCGGAUUAAUACCGCAUACGACCUGUGGGUGAAAGCGGGGGAUCGCAAGACCUCGCGCUAUUGGAGCGGCCGAUAUCAGAUUAGCUAGUUGGUGGGUAAAGGCUCACCAAGCCAACGAUCUGUAGCUGGUCUGAGAGGACGACCAGCCACACUGGAACUGAGACACGGUCCAGACUCCUACGGGAGGCAGCAGUGGGGAAUUUUGGACAAUGGACGC
rnacentral:rRNA from 1 species